UCUCAUUACCCCCAGCUUUUCACAGAGCCAGACAAGGAAAUCAGGACGCUUUCUUAACUCGCGUUCAGCGGCUUCAA
rnacentral:tRNA from 1 species